AUCGCUUCAAGGCUUUAUAAAAGCUAAGAUCAAAGUGUAGUAUCUGUUCUUAUCAGCUUAAUUUCUGGUAUGAAUCCCAAGUGGAUUCGUUUGGAAAUUUGCAUAAGUUUUUGAAAAAAUAGAC
rnacentral:snRNA from 1 species